rnacentral:misc_RNA from 1 species
AAGUCGUAACAAGGUUUCCGUAGGUGAACCUGCGGAAGGAUCAUUAACACGUAUCCAACGUAAAAAACCCCCCUGUGAACAUUCAGUGCGAUCCAGCAAUCCCGGUAAAUCAUUGUCGAACAGUAUUGAUUCGGGACUUCUGACAAAUGAGAAGUUACAGUUACGAUUGAGCGGAGAUAGCUGCAUGGCAUCCCGAAGCAGUCAGUGUCUGAAAGUGUCAUUGAUUGUCUAAGGAUCUCGCCUCAACGAUUGCCAGAGGUCGCUCACCGACCGGCAGACAUGCAACCGGGUCCCCACGCCCCUUUACAACCCCAUUACCUCUGUGAGUCGCGGGAAACUAGCGGCUAAAAAACCUCGAACAACUGUUAACAAUGGAUAUCUUGGUUCUC